UGUGGCCAUAACACCAGUAAAAUCCAAUAGAGUUUCCUCAGAUCAUGAUGAAGAAGAAGUGCAAGAAUCUGAAUUAGAUGCAUACAAAGAUUGGCUAGCUUAUAUGCAUACAAGGAACCAAGCCAUGGAGUUUCAAGACAUAUACAGGGAGGACACAAUCAAGCCAUACCAAGAAUGGUUGGGGGUUGAAGGAAAACUUGAUGACAUCAAUGCGUAUUUGAAUCCUACCAUUCAUAUACAUUCCAGUCAAGACAGCAACCCAACACCUCCAGUGCAGCCAUCAUCUCAUGCUCGGCGUU